rnacentral:tRNA from 1 species
GCGGAUGAAGCUCAACAGGCCGAGCGCACCCCUCCCACGGGUGAGGCAGCGGGUUCGAGUCCCGUCAUCCGCUCCA